AAGUUGACUAUAAUCAGUACAGACCACAAAACUUCUAAAAUGGACAUUUUUGUCAGUUUUAAAGCCAGAGCAUAUGCCAAGUAGUCAGUCCAACUUUGAAGAUCUGAGUUACUCACUCUGAAAUACUACACAGAAAUCUUUCCAAUAAGCCAAAUAACCAGUGGGCUUACAGAGCUUUAUAGCCUUAUCUAAAUGCUUCACAAUGCAAGUAUUUUUCUUACCAUCCAAGCAAUUAGAGAGAGCUUGUGAUGAUCUUUCAAAGUCUGUGCUUCCUCCAAAGGGAAGAAAAAGAGGUUGAUCUUCAUAAUGGACUAUUUUGAUUGUGGAUCAUGGAGGUACAACCAAUAUGGGGCUCCCAGCACCCUGUCAGGUCAUGGAAUAUACUAAUUUUUAAUUUCUUUCAGUCAGAAUAAUUUAUCUUGUAGAAGAUGGAACAAGGAACCCUAUUACUGGAAAUCCCUUCCUGGCAACAGUCAGUCAUGUCUACCAGCUGAUUUUCCUAUCUAAAGGAUGUUGGCAGAGUGUGUCCCUGACUCAUCAUCCUGAGCUUCACCCCAGCAUGUCCAUGUCCUUGCUCUUCAAGUAUCACACUGUGCAGGGUGAGAGGAUUUCUUCCACUUCAGUUUUCCUCUGGAUUGUCCAGUUUCUCCAUGUGGCUCUGAGAUUCUUUCCCAAUCUUCUGAAGGUCCCUAUGCAGGACAAUAAGACAGUACCUUAGAGCUGCCCUCUGUAUUUGAACAUUGCUGACUGUGCGCCAAGGACCUUGGGCAAGAUUCUGUAAGCUGAAACAAGAAAGAGUUCACUAAUAAAUAUGUUUUAAAACCUGUCUUUGAGCUUGCU
rnacentral:lncRNA from 1 species